UUCGCCCUUUUCCGGUUGAUCCUGCCGGACCUGACUGCUAUCGGAUUGAUACUAAGCCAUGCGAGUCAUUGUAGCAAUACAAGGCAGACGGCUCAGUAACGCGUAGUCAACCUAACCUAUGGACGGGAAUAACCUCGGGAAACUGAGAAUAAUGCCCGAUAGAACACUAUACCUGGAAUGGUUUGUGUUCCAAAUGAUUUAUCGCCGUAGGAUGGGACUGCGGCCUAUCAGUUUGUUGGUGAGGUAAUGGCCCACCAAGACUAUUACAGGUACGGGCUCUGAGAGGAGUAGCCCGGAGAUGGGUACUGAGACACGGACCCAGGCCCUAUGGGGCGCAGCAGGCGAGAAAACUUUGCAAUGUGCGAAAGCACGACAAGGUUAAUCCGAGUGAUUUGUGCUAAACGAAUCUUUUGUUAGUCCUAGAACCACUAACGAAUAAGGGGUGGUCAAGUUCUGGUGUCAGCCGCCGCGGUAAAACCAGCACCUCAAGUGGUCAGGAUGAUUAUUGGGCCUAAAGCAUCCGUAGCCGGCUCUGUAAGUUUUCGGUUAAAUCUGUACGCUUAACGUACAGGCUGCCGGGAAUACUGCAGAGCUAGGGAGUGGGAGAGGUAGACGGUACUCGGUAGGAAGGGGUAAAAUCCUUUGAUCUAUUGAUGACCACCUGUGGCGAAGGCGGUCUACCAGAACACGUCCGACGGUGAGGGAUGAAAGCUGGGGGAGCAAACCGGAUUAGAUACCCGGGUAGUCCCAGCUGUAAACUAUGCAAACU
rnacentral:rRNA from 1 species